rnacentral:rRNA from 1 species
AUUGAACGCUGGCGGCAUGCCUUACACAUGCAAGUCGAACGGUAACGCGGGGCAACCUGGCGACGAGUGGCGAACGGGUGAGUAAUGCAUCGGAACGUGCCCAGUAGUGGGGGAUAGCCCGGCGAAAGCCGGAUUAAUACCGCAUACGACCUACGGGUGAAAGCGGGGGACCGUAAGGCCUCGCGCUAUUGGAGCGGCCGAUGUCAGAUUAGGUUGUUGGUGGGGUAAAAGCCUACCAAGCCGACGAUCUGUAGCUGGUCCGAGAGGACGACCAGCCACACUGGGACUGAGACACGGCCCAGACUCCUACGGGAGGCAGUAGUGGGGAAUUUUGGACAAUGGGGGCAACCCUGAUCCAGCCAUGCCGCGUGCGGGAAGAAGGCCUUCGGGUUGUAAACCGCUUUUGUCAGGGAAGAAACGCUCUGGGCUAAUACCCCGGGGUAAUGACGGUACCUGAAGAAUAAGCACCGGCUAACUACGUGCCAGCAGCCGCGGUAAGAC